ensembl:snoRNA small nucleolar RNA SNORA81
UCUUCCAUAUUAAAGAACUCUGCUAAAAUUGGCAGAGUCAGGUCAUCUUGGCUUUGGCAAUAGUGCUAGCAGGGUAUGACAUGGAAGUAGAAUAUUCACACUGUGCUGCACAUGAGAUGGUGUUGGGCCUCUUUCUUAAUGUCCGGUUGCUUCUGUCUCAAGGCCCAGUGUCACAUGU